ACCGCAUGCCAGUUGAUUCAGUACCCCAAACCAAAGUCAGUGGAGAUUGUGGUGUGUACGCCAUCAAGCACAUCGAACACUUAUUGGGUAGGCUACCACUUGACACGAUUUGCGAUGACAACAUGGAGUUGUUCAGAAACAAAUGGACAGUUGACUUAUGGUAUCAGAAUGUUAGACAUUGAACAUUCUCAUGUUAUAUUUAUUUGCUUAAAAUGUAGAUUUUUAAGAAAUUUUUUUGAGUCGAGUAUCUUUUUAUUAA